rnacentral:lncRNA from 1 species
ACCUAGAAUGCCAACUCAUCGAGCCUUGUGCUGCCACGUCAUCGAACCACGAGUCCAUUUCCGAAAACUAUAAGGCUCCCCAACUCCUCGCGACGAUGCGUACGUGCGAAGUGCCAAGUGCGCCUCUAAAGCGCCCAAUGCGUACUUUGCAACGUGCGCGUGCCGGGACCGGGACCGGGUCCGGGUCAGGGUCCGGGUCCGGGGAAUGGUGCUAGUGGUGCGAAGCACCACUCUAGUGGUGACUAGCCUUUGGCUAGUUUGCUAGCCUUUGGCUAGCUAAAGUUAGCCAAGUGGUAGGUAACAUAUUAAAUUAUAUAUUAUUUACACAACCCACUAUAUAAACAAGACUAUUUUCUUGUAAACUUUCGAUGUGAGACUCCUUUCCAUAUAAAAACCAC